rnacentral:rRNA from 1 species
GAUGAACGCUGGCGGCGUGCUUAACACAUGCAAGUCGAACGAAGCACUUAAAUUUGGUUCUUCGGAUGAAGAUUUUUGUGACUGAGUGGCGGACGGGUGAGUAACGCGUGGGUAACCUGCCUCAUACAGGGGGAUAACAGUUAGAAAUGACUGCUAAUACCGCAUAAGCGCACGGUGUCGCAUGACAUAGUGUGGAAAACUCCGGUGGUAUGAGAUGGACCCGCGUCUGAUUAGCUAGUUGGCGAGGUAACGGCCCACCAAGGCGACGAUCAGUAGCCGACCUGAGAGGGUGAUCGGCCACAUUGGGACUGAGACACGGCCCAAACUCCUACGGGAGGCAGCAGUGGGGAAUAUUGCACAAUGGGGGAAACCCUGAUGCAGCGACGCCGCGUGAACGAUGAAGGUCUUCGGAUCGUAAAGCUCUGUCCUCAAGGAAGAAUUUUGACGGUACUUGAGGAGGAAGCCCCGGCUAACUACGUGCCAGCCGCCGCCGUAA